rnacentral:rRNA from 1 species
AGUGAACGCUGGCGGUAGGCCUAACACAUGCAAGUCGAACGGCAGCACAGUAAGAGCUUGCUCUUACGGGUGGCGAGUGGCGGACGGGUGAGGAAUACAUCGGAAUCUACUUUUUCGUGGGGGAUAACGUAGGGAAACUUACGCUAAUACCGCAUACGACCUACGGGUGAAAGCAGGGGAUCUUCGGACCUUGCGCGAUUGAAUGAGCCGAUGUCGGAUUAGCUAGUUGGCGGGGUAAAGGCCCACCAAGGCGACGAUCCGUAGCUGGUCUGAGUGGAUGAUCAGCCACACUGGAACUGAGACACGGUCCAGACUCCUACGGGAGGCAGCAGUGGGGAAUAUUGGACAAUGGGCGCAAGCCUGAUCCAGCCAUACCGCGUGGGUGAAGAAGGCCUUCGGGUUGUAAAGCCCUUUUGUUGGGAAAGAAAAGCAGCAGGUUAAUACCCCGCUGUUAUGACGGUAACCAAAGAAUAAGCACCGGCUAACUUCGUG